GGCGAGAGGAGGUAGUGAAGACAAAUAUCGAUACAGGACUCCUUAGAGGCUCUGUAAUCGAAAUGAGUGCAUUAUAAAUCCUACAACAAGGAUCUAUUGGAGGGCAAGUCUGGUGCCAGCAGCCGCGGUAACUCCAGCUCCAAUAGCAUAUAUUAAAAUUGCUGCAGUUAAAAAGCUCGUAGUUGGAUCUGGGUUCUGGUCUGGAGACUGUAUGUUUGGUUUUGUUGCAGUUCGCUGUGAUGAUUUCAGGCUAUGGUUUUUCUGGACCGAAUCUUCCAGCUGUGUCUAUGUGGUACUUCGGUAUCAUGUGGAUAGUGUCGGUUGUUCAUUGACUCCUUAUGGUUUCGUGGCGCCGAUACUAUGCACUGUAAUGCUCUUUACCGAGUGUUCAGUGUGGGCAGCACGUUUACUUUGAACAAAUUUGAGUGCUCAAAGCAGGCCUUGUGUU
rnacentral:rRNA from 1 species